AUGACCAGUGACUUUCCUUCCGUUACUGCAGAGUCCUUCCUUCAAGAGCUUAAAAGCUCACUGUUUGAGGAAAUACAUGAGGAUGAAACGGUACUUCAAGCCUCAACAGACUGGUCGACCCGAAAGAGCCUCAUAUCAGGGUGGUGGGAGAAAGAGAGACCCCGACUGGUCAACACCAUGGUGGCUGGACAACAUGCGGCAACUCGGAUCUGCCAACAUUGUGGAAAUGGUCCAGCCGUAAUCCGUUGUUGUGACUGCCGACCACACCCAUUCCUCUGUGGCCAGUGUGAUGUCAGGGUCCACCGAGGUCAAGUGUUCCACAACAGGGAUUCGAUGACACAUGCAUUCUUUCAUCCAUUGCCUCCCACAACUUGUGUUGUGGAGAGGGUUCUAACCCAGUGUGAGCGUCUUGUACCUUUGGAGAUGCCAGAGACAAUAUGCGGUUGUCUACGAGUAUCGUCCAGUGUCAUCGCAGGACAGUCCAUAGUUGUGGUUACAAUGAAUGGGCGAUAUGAUCUCAGAUUGCCUCAGAUUAGAUGCAAAGCAUGUGAAGCCACUUGGAGUCCUGGAGUGGAUGACCUGAUCCGUAAUGACUACUGGCCUGCCACUUCUCACUAUUCAACUGUGUAUGCAACAGAUGUCCUUUUUUUCUUUUUGAAGAGCUGA
ensembl:lncRNA